rnacentral:misc_RNA from 1 species
AGCUGUGGAUUCCAAGCUGAGCGAUGUUCAAUCAAUCUACAUGUUUCCUUAACCAAAUGAUGUCCCAUUUCCUCUUCAAUUCUUCCAGAAAUGCCACCGUUUUCUGCCCCGUUGACUUGUUUUUGAGUUUUCCCAAAUGAAUCCAAAACCUUAAAAUCAUCAUCAGUACAGUCUAAAUCUUCAUUAUCUGACUCUUCAAACUCAUGGACAUGGUCAAAGCUACAAGUACUAGCAUUAUGUAUAUAGCUGCAAUUUUUUCCAUCAUCAGU